GGCAUUUAGUAGAGACUGCUGAGGUCACCUGGUCCCAGCAGACCCCAGAAAACAGCCACAUUCGCUGGUGCUGGGACAAGGUCCUUAAGGGUGAAGACUGGUGCCAGAUGUGU
ensembl:rRNA 5S_rRNA 5S ribosomal RNA